CACCCUAAAGAGUUCAUCUUCUGCAGAGGUGGUGGGGAACAGAGGAGGCCAAGAAGCAGCAGAAGGUGACUGGGAGCUAGAAGGAGCUGGAGGGGCAGCCAGGGAAGAAUUGGCUGUCAGUCAAGGCCAGGUUCUUCCAGCAUCAAGAUGGCACAUCUGGAGUUUCAGCACCUCUCCAAAAGUGGUAUGACAUCUGAAUUGACCUGUUAGUUAUGAAUAGGCUUUCUACAGUGUUUUGAUGAAAGAAGUUGUGACCCUGGAGAAGGAAGAAGCCAUUUUUGUAAACAGAUUCCUGGUUUUCAUCUUCUCCCCUUUGGUCUUCAUGGGUCUGCUGCUUUUCUCUCUGAGCGGUCUUCCCUCCUUGGGUCUGGGGGACUCUGGCCUCACUGGAAGUUGGCAGAACCUUGUCCAGAACUCUGUGGUGAGUUUGUUCUUCUACUGACCUUUUCUGCCAGUUCCGCUGCUCUCCAGUUGCCUCUAUUAGAGGGAGCCAAGCAUUUAUUUGUCCAUCAAGCAUUUUAUUUUUGUAGUUCCUGAAUCUUCCAGUUCAGUGCAUGCAUUCCAGGCCAGAGGCUGCCUAAAUUACUUUUGCACAAACACUGUCCUCCACACUCUCCUUCCUGGCUGUGAACUGAAAGACUGUUUGUUGGGAGUGGGCAUGUCUAGGAACAGAACUCAGAGGGGAAAACUUGCGAUUUGGGUCAACCACGUGCCAGCCUUACCUAGUUUGUGUGCUUCGAUGUGCAAAGACCUCCUCAGGUCAGAAAGAAUUCGUCUCCUCAUUGCAAAUUAAAGUGAAUACAGAGAAACACUUUUGCUUAGAAGGGUUACUGGUUUCUGGGGCAGGCUGCAAACAUAGUCAUCAUUCCCAACCUCUCCUUUUGCAACAGGAGAUUUCGCCUCUCCAAUAAUGAGAUAAGUCCAUUUCUCCAAACCUUGAAUCUGGGCUGGGUCUGUGACUUUCCUUGGCAGAUGGAAGGCAGUAAAACAACUGUGUCUGAGCUAAGACCCUGGCCUCAGGAGACCUUGUGUGCUUCCCCUCUUUCUCUUGGAGCACUGCCAGGUGUCGUGGGAACAAGCCUGAACAGCCAGAUGGAAGAUAAAAUACUACGUGGACCAGAGCAGAGUCACUCCCAUUUCCCAAGCAUGGGCCCAGACAUGUGAAAGAGGUUAACCAAGACCAGUCAAGCCUGGCCCAGAUUGGUAGAAUCAUCUAUAUGUCUGUAGACUCAUGAGCCACACAAUGAAGGGUUAUAUUUUAAAGUGCUAAAUUUUGGGCUUGUUUGAGACUAAAUCAAGUUAAGUUAGAAAGACAAAUAUCAUUUGAGAUCAUUAAUAUGUGGAACCUAAUAAAAAUGGCAUAAAAGAACUUAUGCA
rnacentral:lncRNA from 1 species